rnacentral:rRNA from 1 species
CCUACGGGAGGCAGCAGUGGGGAAUAUUGCACAAUGGGGGAAACCCUGAUGCAGCGACGCCGCGUGAGUGAAGAAGUCUUUCGGUAUGUAAAGCUCUAUCAGCAGGGACGAAAAUGACGGUACCUGAUUAAUAAGCCCCGGCUAACUACGUGCCAGCAGCCGCGGUAAUACGUAGGGGGCAAGCGUUAUCCGGAUUUACUGGGUGUAAAGGGAGUGUAGACGGCAGCGAAAGUCUGGUGUGAAAUGCCGGGGCUUAACCCCGGGACUGCUUUGGAAACUGUGCAGCUUGAGUGCAGGAGAGGUAAGUGGAAUUCCUAGUGUAGCGGUGAAAUGCGUAGAUAUUGGGAGGAACACCAGUGGCGAAGGCGGCUUACUGGACUGUAACUGACGUUGAGGCUCGAAAGCGUGGGGAGCAAACAGGAUUAGAUACCCUUGUAGUC